rnacentral:rRNA from 1 species
CCUACGGGUGGCAGCAGUGGGGAAUAUUGCGCAAUGGGCGAAAGCCUGACGCAGCGACGCCGCGUGAAGGAAGAAGGAUUUCGGGAUGUAAACUUCUAUCAGCAGGGAAGAAAAUGACGGUACCUGACUAAGAAGCCCCGGCUAACUACGUGCCAGCAGCCGCGGUAAUACGUAGGGGGCAAGCGUUAUCCGGAUUUACUGGGUGUAAAGGGAGCGUAGGCGGCGAUGCAAGUCAGAAGUGAAAGCCCCGGGCUCAACUCCGGGACUGCUUUUGAAACUGUGUUGCUAGAUUGCAGGAGAGGUAAGUGGAAUUCCUAGUGUAGCGGUGAAAUGCGUAGAUAUUAGGAGGAACACCAGUUGCGAAGGCGGCUUACUGGACUGUAAAUGACGCUGAGGCUCGAAAGCGUGGGGAGCAAACAGGAUUAGAUACCCGAGUAGUC